UAUUUAUUGAGUGUGAUCUUGGCUUGGAGUUAAUGCUGGCUAAACGUCUAACACAUGCAAGUUGUACGGGUAAUUUCAGUAGAGGUUAUUAGUAGCGUCGUGGUGAGUAGCGUGGUUAUGAUAGGAUCUUUAAUAUUAAACAUAUAGGUAAUAUUUGAAGAUACGUUGUACCGCAUAGGAUUAAGUAUACUUGACCUAGUCAAGUGCUAGUGAUCCUUAGUUGAUUUGAGAGAAGAAUCAUCCACAUAGGGUAUGAAAACCACCCUACCUAAUGGCAGCAGUGAAGAAUAUUAGGCAAUGCACGAAAGUGUGACCUAUCGAAUUAGCGGGAAUGAAGAAAGCUAUAGUAGCUGUAAAGUUUAUACGUAUACAAGAAUUAUGCUGUAAUGUAUAAGGAGAAGUCAUGGCAAAUACAGGUGCCAGCAGCCGCGGUAAUACCUGAGUGACAAGCAUUAUUCGCAAUGACUGGGUGUAAAGGAUGUGUAGGAGAUUUUAAAAAGUAACUGACUAAAUUUUUGGAAAAGAUGAGCUUUUACUGUUUAUAAAUAUUGGAGUAUCUGUAGAGAGUUGAGGUGUGUCUAAAUAGUGAUAAAAUACUAAGAUUUAGCCAUUCUUGCCAAUCGUAUAAAUAACGGCUCUUAUAGAUUCUGACUCUGAGACAUUAAAGUAAGGGAAAUAAACAGGAUUAGAGACCCUGGUAAUCCUUACCCUAAAUGAUGAUUAUUUAAAGUUAACGCUAAAUAAUCCACCAGGUGAGUAUAGUUGCAAAAUUCAAAGUUAACAGAAUUGGCGGGGGUUAGCACGAAUGGUGGAACAUGUGGUUUAAUGCGAUAAUCCACGUAGAACCUUACCACAAUUUAAAAAACAUGAUAGGAGAUGUUGAAGCUUAUAGUUCUUUUGAACUAUUCGUGGAUAGCUCGCUCUUGCAUGUCUAUGAGUAUUGCAUGGCUGUCGUCAGCACGUGUUGUGAUGUGUAGAAUUAAGUUUUUGUAACGAGCGCAACCUUUGGGCUUAUGUUUGAAUGUAAGGCAUUUUGUAAUCUUUAUAUUUGAACACCAAAGCUGAAGUCAAGUCCUCAUGGUCUUUAUAUUGUGGGCGACACACGUGUUACAAUGGUAAAAACAAAAAAUUUCGAAAAAGAAAUUUUUAGGAAUUUUCAAAAAUUACCUUAGUACGGAUACAUUUCUGAAACUUGAAGUGUUGAAGGAGAAAUCAUUAGUAACCGUAGAUUAUUAUGCUGCGGUGAAUUAAAAAACUAACCUUGCACACACCGCCCAUCACAUUCGAAAAAUUUGUACUUUAGUAAAAAUAUUAAUGUAGCUUGUUUUAUUUAGUAAAAAUUUUUACAAAUGUAGAUUUUUUUUUCUAACAUAAACCAAUCUAGGGGAUCUAUGUCUCGAAAAAAAUGAGCGUAUUUCGCUAACUUACAGGUAAUUUGAAUUAAGUUGACACAAGGUACCGGUAGAGGAAUCUGCAGGUAGAAUAUUUACUUU
rfam:Aedes albopictus isolate Foshan contig160581, whole genome shotgun sequence.